UGGGGAAUAUUGGACAAUGGGCGCAAGCCUGAUCCAGCAACGCCGCGUGGAGGAUGAAGGUCUUCGGAUCGUAAACUCCUGUCAGACGGGACGAAGGGACCGAGGUGAACAACAUCGGUCUUUGACGGUACCGUCAGAGGAAGCCCCGGCUAACUCCGUGCCAGCAGCCGCGGUAAUACGGAGGGGGCGAGCGUUAUUCGGAAUUAUUGGGCGUAAAGGGCGCGUAGGCGGCCCGAUAAGUCAAAGGUGAAAUCCCUCGGCUCAACUGAGGAACUGCCUUUGAAACUGUCGGGCUUGAGGCCGGGAGGGGGUAGCGGAAUUCCCAGUGUAGCGGUGAAAUGCGUAGAUAUUGGGAGGAACACCAGUGGCGAAGGCGGCUACCUGGACCGGUUCUGACGCUGAUGCGCGAAAGCGUGGGUAGCAAACAGGAUUAGAUACCCCCGUAGUCC
rnacentral:rRNA from 1 species